GACGAACGCUGGCGGCGUGCUUAACACAUGCAAGUCGAACGGUAAGGCCCUUCGGGAUACACGAGUGGCGAACGGGUGAGUAACACGUGGGUGAUCUGCCCUGCACUUCGGGAUAAGCCUGGGAAACUGGGUCUAAUACCGGAUAGGACCCUGGGAUGCAUGUCCUGGGGUGGAAAGCUUUUGCGGUGUGGGAUGGGCCCGCGGCCUAUCAGCUUGUUGGUGGGGUGAUGGCGUACCAAGGCGACGACGGGUAGCCGGCCUGCGAGGGUGACCGGCCACACUGGGACUGAGAUACGGCCCAGACUCCUACGGGAGGCAGCAGUGGGGAAUAUUGCACAAUGGGCGCAAGCCUGAUGUAGCGACGCCGCGUGAGGGAUGACGGCCUUCGGGUUGUAAACCUCUUUCAGCACCGACGAAGCGCAAGUGACGGUAGGUGCAGAAGAAGGACCGGCCAACUACGUGCCAGCAGCCGCCGUAA
rnacentral:rRNA from 1 species